rnacentral:rRNA from 1 species
CCCUUAGAUGUUCUGGGCCGCACGCGCGCUAUACUGAUGCAUUCAACGAGUCUAAAACCUGGUCUGAUAGGGCUGGGUAAUCUUUUGAAUGUGCAUCGUGAUUGGGAUAGAUGAUUGCAAUUCUUCAUCUUCAACGAGGAAUGCCUAGUAAACGCAAGUCAUCAGCUUGCAUUGAUUACGUCCCUGCCCUUUGUACACACCGCCCGUCGCUCCUACCGAUUGAAUGUUCCGAUGAAUACCAUGGACUGAGAGUAUGAAUGGGUUCGCCUAUUUCUGCUUCUCGGGAAGUGGAGUAAAUCUUAACAUUUAGAGGAAGGAGAAGUCGUAACA